rnacentral:rRNA from 1 species
UACGUAGGGUGCAAGCGUUAAUCGGAAUUACUGGGCGUAAAGCGUGCGUAGGCGGUCAAGUAAGUCGGGUGUGAAAGCCCCGGGCUCAACCUGGGAAUUGCAUUCGAGACUGCGUGGCUAGGGUGCGGAAGAGGGAAGCGGAAUUUCCGGUGUAGCGGUGAAAUGCGUAGAUAUCGGAAGGAACACCAGUGGCGAAAGCGGCUUCCUGGUCCAGCACCGACGUUCGGGCACGAAAGCGUGGGGAGCAAACAGG